GACGAACGCUGGCGGCGUGCUUAACACAUGCAAGUGGAGCGACGAACCGGGCUUUCGGCCCGGGGCAGAGCCGCGAACGGGUGAGUAACACGUGGGUAACCUGCCCUGAUGAUCGGGACAACCCGGGGAAACUCGGGCGUAAUACCGAAUGUGCUCCCGCGCCUCAAGGCGCGGGUGGAAAGGUAGCUUCGGCUUCCGCAUCAGGAUGGGCCCGCGGCCCAUUAGCUUGUUGGUGAGGUAACGGCUCACCAAGGCAUCGAUGGGUAGCUGGUCUGAGAGGACGAUCAGCCACACUGGGACUGAGACACGGCCCAGACUCCUACGGGAGGCAGCAGUGGGGAAUAUUGGACAAUGGGCGCAAGCCUGAUCCAGCCAUGCCGCGUGGGUGAUGAAGGCCCUAGGGUUGUAAAGCCCUUU
rnacentral:rRNA from 1 species